UACGGGGGGAGCAAGCGUUGUUCGGAUUUACUGGGCGUAAAGGGCGCGUAGGCGGCGUAACAAGUCACUUGUGAAAUCUCCGGGCUUAACCCGGAGCGGCCAAGUGAUACUGUUGUGCUAGAGUGCGGAAGGGGCUACUGGAAUUCUCGGUGUAGCGGUGAAAUGCGUAGAUAUCGAGAGGAACACCUGCGGCGAAGGCGACUACCUGGCCUGUUCUUGACGCUGAGGCGCGAAAGCUAGGGGAGCAAACGGG
rnacentral:rRNA from 1 species